GGUUUCAUGGUGUAAUGGUUAGCACUCUGGACUUUGAAUCCAGCGAUCCGAGUUCGAGUCUCGGUGGAACCU
rnacentral:tRNA from 1 species